rnacentral:pre_miRNA from 1 species
CGAUGAUGACGACGACGACGACGACGAUGAUGAUGAUGAUGAUGAUGAAAUCUUUUACUAUUAUCAUCAUCAUCAUCAUCGUCGUCGUCGUCGUCGUCG